GGCGGGGCUGGCGCUGAGGCUUGGGGACCUCCUGUCCCCACCCGUCCAGCCGUCCAGCCCGUCCUGCUGUCUGCAUGGCUUCCACUGAGUGGCGGGCAGCUGCCAGGUCGCCGCAUGUUUUUCCUGAAGAUCACAGUGACCGGCAAAGUUCAAGGCUUUGAGUCCAUUCGGGUUGUGGAGGCGGCCAGGACAGGGCAGAGUAAGACCCUGAGGACAGAGGACCCCACGGAUGCUGCGGAGAGUGGCCAGGAGGACUCUGACGGCUCGGAUCCCUUGUGUGUUUUAUUGUAAUAAACGGUUUUUUAUUUUGGUGCUGGGGAUGGAAAUCACGACCUCUCGUUUGCCAAGCAGGCAGUUACACUGCUGACCCAAACCCCGGCCUGUAAUAAAGUUUCUAAAAAUUCA